UCCGGGUUGGUCCCGGCGGUCCCGCUAGACAUGGUAACUAGCGGCGGGGGUUGCGCUCGUUGCGGGACUUAACCCAACACCUCACGGCACGAGCUGACGACAGCCGUGCAGCACCUGCACAGGCUCCCUCGCGGGUCCCUCGGCUUUCACCUUGGUACCACCUGCAUGUCAAGCCUGGGUAAGGUUCUUCGCGUUGCAUCGAAUUAAACCACACGCUCCGCUGCUUGUGCGGGCCCCCGUCAAUUCCUUUGAGUUUUAGCCUUGCGGCCGUAGUCCCCAGGCGGGGUGCUUAUCGCGUUAGCUGCGGCACCGAGGGGGUCGAUACCCCCGACACCUAGCACCCAUCGUUUACAGCGUGGACUAC
rnacentral:misc_RNA from 1 species